UACGGAGGGGGCUAGCGUUGUUCGGAAUUACUGGGCGUAAAGCGCACGUAGGCGGACUGUUAAGUCGGGGGUGAAAUCCUGGGGCUCAACCUCAGAAUUGCCUCCGAUACUGGCAGUCUCGAGUGCGGGAGAGGUGAGUGGAAUUCCCAGUGUAGAGGUGAAAUUCGUAAGAUAUUGGGAAGAACACCAGUGGCGAAGGCGGCUCACUGGCCCGUAACUGACGCUGGAGGUGACGGAAAGCGUGGGGAGCAAACAGG
rnacentral:rRNA from 1 species